rnacentral:rRNA from 1 species
CCCUUAGAUGUUCUGGGCCGCACGCGCGCUACACUGACGAAUGCAACGAGCUUAUAACCUUGGCCGGAAGGUCUGGGUAAUCUCCAAAUUUCGUCGUGAUGGGGAUAGAUUAUUGCAAUUAUUAAUCUUCAACGAGGAAUGCCUAGUAAGCGCAAGUCAUCAGCUUGCGUUGAUUACGUCCCUGCCCUUUGUACACACCGCCCGUCGCUCCUACCGAUUGAAUGGUCCGGUGAAGCGCUCGGACCGCGGCCUCUUGACGGUUUUCCGUCGAUUGGCUGUGGGAAGUUCGUUAAACCUUAUCAUUUAGAGGAAGGAGAAGUCGUAACA